rnacentral:rRNA from 1 species
GAGUCAUUGGGACCGCAAUAAACCUAAAGGCGCAAUGAAAGUAAAGGUCCGCCUCGCGCGGACCUAGGGAGGAUGGGCCCGUUCACGGGCGGGCCCCGCACUCCCGGGGCGUCUCGUUCUCAUUGCGAGAAGAGGCGCACCCAGAGCGUACACGCUGGGACCCGAAAGAUGGUGACCUAUGCCCGGUCAGGACGAAGUCAGGGGAAACCCUGAUGGAGGUCCGUAGCGAUUCUGACGUGCAAAUCGAUCGUCGGAACUGGGUAUAGC